GCGGGUAUAAUUUAAUGGUAGAAUGGCACUCUUCCAAAGUGCAUACCGGAGUUCGAUUCUCCGUACCCGCA
rnacentral:tRNA from 1 species